ACAUGUCUUUCUGUAUUAUAUAUAAAGUCUAACCUGCCCACUGAAAAUUUUAAAUGGCCGCAGUAUACUAACUGUGCAAAGGUAGCAUAAUCAUUAGUCUUUUAAUUGAAGGCUGGUAUGAAUGGUUGGACGAGAUAUUAACUGUUUCAUUUAAAUUUAUAAUAGAAUUUUAUUUUUUAGUCAAAAAGCUAAAAUUUAUUUAAAAGACGAGAAGACCCUAUAAAUCUUUAUUUUUUAUUUAUAUUAAUUAAUUAGAUAAUUUUUAUUAUUAUAAAUUAAAAAAUUUUAUUGGGGUGAUAUUAAAAUUUAAAAAACUUUUAAUUUGCAUAAACAUUAAUUUAUGAAUAAUUGAUCCAUUAAUAAUGAUUAAAAAUUUAAGUUACUUUAGGGAUAACAGCGUAAUUUUUUUGGAGAGUUCAUAUCGAUAAAAAAGAUUGCGACCUCGAUGUUGGAUUAAGAUAUAAUUUUAGGUGUAGCCGUUUAAAUUUUAAGUGUGUUCGACUUUUAAU
rnacentral:rRNA from 1 species